rnacentral:rRNA from 1 species
UACGUAGGCAGCAAGCGUUGUUCGGAGUUACUGGGCGUAAAGGGUGUGUAGGCGGUUGCUUAAGUUUGGUGUGAAAUCUCCCGGCUCAACUGGGGAGGGUCACGCGAUACUGAUCGACUCGAAGGCAGGAGAGGGUAGUGGAAUUCCCGGUGUAGUGGUGAAAUGCGUAGAUAUCGGGAGGAACACCAGUGGCGAAGGCGACUACCUGGCCUGUUCUUGACGCUGAGGCGCGAAAGCUAGGGGAGCAAACGGG